rnacentral:rRNA from 1 species
UACUCAGUUCGGAUUGUAGGCUGCAACCCGCCUACAUGAAGUCGGAAUUGCUAGUAAUCGUGGAUCAGCAUGCCACGGUGAAUACGUUCCCGGGCCUUGUACACACCGCCCGUCAAACCAUGAGAGUUGGCAACACCCGAAGCCUGUAGCUUAACCGCAAGGAUGGCGCAGUCGAAGGUGGGGUCGAUGAUUAGGGUUAAGUCGUAACAAGGUAUC